GCCGAUAGCAGUUCUAGUGUAGUUCAAGCAUUCUCUCCAGCACUUUCUCGGCUUCAGUCUCGCGCGUUCGCCGGUGAUCAUCCCCGACGGCCAUGUCGCUCGUCCCGAGCUGGUUCGGCGGCCGCCGCAGCAACGUCUUCGACCCUUUCUCCCUCGACGUCUGGGACCCCUUCAGGGACUUUCCCUUCCCUUCCUCCUCCCUCACCGCCGCUAACUUCCCCCAGACGUUCCGGGAGAACGCCGCCUUCGUGAACACGAGGAUCGACUGGAAGGAGACCCCGGAGGCCCACGUGUUCCGGGCGGAUCUCCCCGGGCUCAAGAAGGAGGAGGUCAAGGUGGAGAUCGAGGAGGAUCGGGUGCUCCAGAUCAGCGGCGAGCGGAACAUGGAGAAGGAGGACAAGAACGACACCUGGCACCGGAUGGAGAGGAGCAGCGGCAAGUUCAUGAGGAGGUUCAGGCUGCCGGAGAACGCGAGGAUGGAUCAGGUGAAGGCCUCGAUGGAGAACGGGGUGCUGACUGUCACUGUUCCCAAGGUGGAGGAGAAGAAGCCCGAGGUCAAGGCCAUCGAGAUCUCCGGUUGAGAGGUGGUGAAUCUACGGUCGGCGCUGCGACCUGUGUAUACAUAUGCAUAUAGAGUGCCUGUGUGUGCCGUCUGCUGUGUGGCUUUUGCGUGUCCUGAGUUGGGAGUCGCGGUCUAUGGCGAUGUCUGAUAUGGCAAUGUUAAAUAACUACAGUGACUCUCUACUUGUAAUGAGAUCUGAGAUAUUAUGUAAUAUAUAGUAACUUCUACUUUUUGUGAUAUCGGUUCCUCAAAUUCUUUCGGUUUUUUCACCUUUCCAUUUUCCUAUUGCACUGAAUUUGCCUACUACUGCUUUGUUCCAAGGGAGUUCAAUUGGUUCGUUCUUUUUGCAACGAUUAAUUCAAUUUGUUGGAAGGAUUCCUCGGAUGUGCAAGUGCUGUACUCGUUGCGAUCAUUUUUAGAAUUGGGUUUGCGGUACCCACAAAACAUUGUACUCAUGAGCUCGGCGCGAGCUGCAGGGUGUCAGAUAACAGGAGCAGUUAUCCCAACAAGCUUUUCAAUUUCUGCAUGAUCAUCAUCGGAUCAGAGAUCGAGUUCUCUAGUUCUUCUAUUGUAGUGUGUGAACAAGCACCUUUCUUGAUGCUCAAGCUCGACUUACUGUCUUGUCUUUGAAAGCUGUGUCUCUUAGCCUCAUCUCUUUCCCUUCCUCCCCCAUCAACCAUCAGUCUUCCUUGCUGCUUUUGACAUAUUAUAUAUUAAAAAUAUUUUUAUAUAUAAAUACAUAAAUGAAUAAAUAAUAAUAAUAAAAAGAACAUAAAAUUAUUUUAUUUUAAAAAUAUUAAUUCAAUAUUAUUUAUUAUUUUAAUUUGAUAAAUUCAAUUAUAUUCUAUUGCAAUAAUUCAUAAAAUUUGGAAGGAAAAAAAAGUAAGAGAAAAUCUCAAAUAAGAAUACAAAGUUUUGUUCAAAAAAAAAAAAAAAAAAUAAGAAUACAAAGUGAGUUUAUUUUUUCAAAUAAAAUUUUAAAGUGACAUUUGUUCCAAAUAAAGAUCCAAAGUGGCUAACAAGUCUCAAAUAAGGAUCUGAAUUUGUCAUUCGGUGAAAAUGUUUACCGGCUAGCGAGUGUGUGACAUUUUCGGUGGCCGAAAUAUGAGCAAUUUUGUCUAAAAAAAAUAUAGAUAGAAAUUAACAAAUCAUAAAAACAAAACUCCACAAACUCUUCACGUUCUUUCGACCUAAAAAAAACUCCACAUUCUCAUGUUUUUCUUCUUUUGCUCUUCAUCUUCUCUGUUCUUUGUCCUCUCUCGUUUGGAGCACCGAAAUUUUCUGUUAAUGGAACACGAAUUGAAACACAACAAAAAAACCCCUACCUUCGUUUCUUUACAUAUUCUUCUUUUGUUUUUAGUCUUCGUUUCAACGAAAAAGACAAAUCUCGAGUAAGCCAAGGAUCUUGCUCCAUUAACAGAGAAUUUGGCUUCUCCAAACGAGAGGGGACAAAGAACAUAACGUAAAAGAUGAGGAGUAGAAGAAGAAGAACGUAAAGAGUAUGGGGGUUUUGUUUUUAAGUUUUGUUAAUUUCUAUCUAUAUUUUUUUUGGACAAAAUUGCCCGGAAAUGUCAUAUGCUCAUCGGCCGGUGAACAUUUUGGCCGGCCGGUAGGUUUAGGUUUUUAUUUGAGACUUAUUAGCCACUUCAGGUCAUUAUUUGGAAUAACAAUUAUUUCGGGUCAUUAAUUGAGAUUUCCCAAAAAGUAAUUCAAGUUUUAGUAUUAAAUUUAGGGAUAUAUGCGGUAUAAGUUUUAAAAUUUAUCGUGAAAGUAUAAUUGAAUUUUAAAAUUGAUCAAAUUGGUACAAUCAAGUCUUUUUGUUGAUAUCGUCAAUUUGUUUAACAAAAAAUCUUGAAGAAGAAUUUUUAAAUUAAUUUAUUUAUCUUAUGUGGUAUUUUUUAUUAUUUUUUCUUUAAAUCUUAUUUAAAGAAUAGUAAUUAUUUUUAUUAAAAAAGCUAAAAUAAUUCUUAACCUGAAAAAAAAAAGGUAGGUUAGCUGCUUGGUUGGAUAGGCGACUGCCACCGUGGAGGGGGUCGGCGAGAUCGGUGGCCCUAGGUGAUGGUGGGUGGCAACUUGUGGUGGAGUUGGGGGGCCUUGCAAGGCCUCGCCGGCCUCGAGCGAGGGCAUGGCAUCGCCCAGAUUUGGGCGAGCCUCACUCGGGCCUCUAAGGCAUCGCUUAGAUCUAGGCGAGCCUUGCUGGCCCUUGCUUGAUUGGUGAUGGCUUCGCUUGGGCUGGCGAGAUGGCCCACCCGCCACUUAGGGCCAGUACUUCGAUAGUGGUAGCGGCGCCAAUCUACCCCUUUUUUUUAUAUAUUUAUUAUUUGAUCUCUCAAGUAUUGAAAAAUUUUAAAAUUGACCCCAUGCGUAUUAGAAUUCCGGAUUUGCAUAUUGGAGCUUGUCAGGGAGAGUUGACCACAGUUGGAUUUUUCCAAACUCAUUGAUCGCAUGUUGGAGCGUAGGACAUCACACAAAGGCUUUUGGAAAGUGUCGCUACUUCUUAGAUUCCACCUGAGUCCAAAAGCCUGGAAACUUCCUCCUGCAGAGCCCAUCUCACUACGCGACCAGUUUCUCUGAUUGUCUCUUUGAACCCUUCCGGUAACAGCUCGAAUCCACUCUGAGCCUCUGACCAUGCCAGUCCGACCAUCCACAAGAACGUUGCUGUUCGCCAGCCCCCAGCCGUUUCUGCAAACUCUACCUGAGCCAUUUUGAAGCCAAGAUUCCUAAGCUCACACGUGUAACUGAAUAUUUGCUUGCUUAUCAAGCCCCAAGAGGCAACCGGUUUCUUCCCCUAAUAUGCUGGUUGUGUUGGAGUCAACGCCUAAUAUGAAAAUAAGAUAAGUUCUAGUUGGACUUUGCCUCUGAUGUGCCGACUUAUUCCAGUGAGAAUGCUGGAUAUUCAAAAGCGGUGAGUGAAACCAAAAGUGAAGAACUCUUGGUCAAAAAGCAGAGGAACCGCCUCUGUCUCUCUGUCUGUCUAGAUUUGUCUCUUGUCCUCCAGAAGCCGCAAGUUGCUAGAGAAGAAAGUCAAAAGAAAAGUUGCAGCCCACAAUUGUUGACUCCUCAGCCAAGAAGAAAAUGAAAGUCCAUCAUGCAUGAAGUCUGGACGUGAGGCCGUGAAGUUUGAGCCUUCAAGUAAGGCUUGGCAGUGCCAACGUAAGGUAGGCCUCACAAGUCGAGAGAAGAAGAGAUUAAGAGAGAAAGAGAGUCUCGUCAGAGAGAAAGCAAGGUGUGAGCUUCACGCCAGAGAGGGCCUCAAGUCACCAGGUGCAAAGUACAUCAACGAAUCAUGAAUCACGCAAGAGAUUUUAUUGUUGCUCCUUCCUCUGCCAUCAUAUCUGAGAAUACUUGGUGGAGAGGUCCUUCACAGUUGGUGUUGAGUCUUGCUGCAAGAGCUAAGGGAACUCAGAGGAGAGGUCAUCCUUUGGUAAGCAGUGGGGAAAUAGAUAGGAAGAUAUAAUUGGGGAUACUGCACGGACCGGGAUGAUCGAAUUGAGUGUGACCUAUUCCAAUGGGGAAGCACUUGGAAUGCAGGACUGACCUCAAUUGAGCAUCGGGGUUAUGUGCCCUUGAAAGGAACAUCAGGACUUGCACCUAUCUACGAUUGCGUCUCCGUCCUCGUUCCUCCAUUGCUCUCAUCUGACCACAACCAGAGCCUGGGUCCUGGAUCAUUUGAGCAUACGAAAAGUAUUAUAUUCGGUACUGCGUCGAUUGCAUGUUAAGAAAAAUAAAGGAGACUUCUCUAGUUAUUUCGUGUUUCUUGCCUGGAUGGUAAAAUUGAAAGGGGCAUACAAAUCGAUUACAUCAUUGAAAGGUGACGGGAUUAUGGGAGAGCGACUUUCGUACUAUGAGACAUGUGGAGGAAACAAAACUACAUGAGAAUACCUGAAAUUUUGUUACCUUUCAUAUCUGGAUUUGCUCGUUCUUAUGUUAAAGCCAGCAGAGAUAAUUCCUCCUCUGGCAAGCUAGCUUCUUUCACCGAGGACUUCUGGUUAAUUUGACUUCCAUCCCAAAACUUGGUCUUAUCUCUUUGCAGAUUUUCACUAUUCCACUGGAGGCGACUCCUCCUAUCUGAUGGCAUUGAAAUCCACUGCUACCGACGUCACCAUAAGCUCGUUAUUGAUCCGAAAUGAAGUGAUUAUAACUCGGUUUUAACAUGAGAGUGCUUGAACCUUCUUAAAAAAAUUCAAAUCAAAGAAUUUUUUGGGAAUCCUACAACCAUAUUAGCCUAACAGAAAAAUCGUCUUGGAGCAGAGUCACGUACACAUAUGUAUUGUAGCCGACACGCACAACCUUAGGCGAGCUGAUAGAGCUUGUCUAUCCAAGAAAGCUAGAGAAAGCAUGACUUAGAAGCACAAGAGCUUCAAAGUCUGCAUUAUUUCAGAUAACUAGCUAUUUCUCGAGACAACUCAAGUGUAUCAAAGAAAUAUAAAGCUCCAUGAUUCAGUUGCUGUGAAAAUCGAAUUGAUCUGGAGGAUUCUCAUAUUCUUUUUUUUAUGAGAUGUGAAAUGAAAAACCUUGUCGUUAAGAUAAAGACCAAUUUUUAUGCUACUACUUCUUUCUUUUGUCAAAUGACAUGAGUGGUCUCUCGUGAUUGACUUAAGAAAGAAGGUUCAUCCUCAAAAUGUUGUCCCUGCAACAACAACAAAAACAACCGAGUCUCAUUCUGCUAAGUGAGGUCCAUCGUAUGAAUCCUAUUAUGCCAUUGCAUUUUAUCCUUUGUUAGAUUAUCUGUGAAAUAUAGAUAGUACCCUACUUAUCGUUGGGUUAGUGAUAUCUUUCAUUGUCAUUUCCUUCCACAUCUUUUUCUGGUUUCUCUUGUCCCUUUUAACAAUGGAUCCAAUCUUUAAUCUCACAUAGCGUCGUAGGGCACUUGAAAGCUUUCCUUCAACAUUACCAAACCAUCUUAAAUGGCCUUCCUCAUCUCAAAAUGCCUUUGAGAUGUUAUCUGUAGAAUGGUUAUGGUGAAAUCGACUUAUUACUUUUAUCUGCCUAUUAUCCUAUCUAAUUUCAAAUGUGUUAUGCUUUUGAUUUUGAUUGACUUGUUUUACUACGCGUUAUUACCACGUUAUGUAACCAAUAAUGACACAACUGUCACAUAAAACAUCUUCUCCACAUGUAAGGGAUGGGAAGAAGUAAUGAUAAUCAAUUGAAGAAUGAAAUUGUGGAUAGUGCAAUGGGAAAAAUGAGGUUCGGGUAAAGAUUAAUAUCAAUAACAAUCAUUAUCAAACUCUUUCCAUGAGUAAAAUAAUAUUUGGGAGAGAAAAAAAAUCGUUGGAACUACCAUGAUAUAAACAAUGACAUCUCACAACAAGGUUAUGUAACCAAUAAUGACGCGACCAUUACAUAAAACAUCAUCUCCACAUGCAAGGGAUGGGAAGAAGUAAUGAUAAUCAAUUGAAAUGAUUAAUAAGAAUGAAAUUGUGGAUAGUGCAAUGGGAAAAAUGAGGUCCAGGUAAAGUUUAAUAUCAAUAACAAUUAUUAUCAAACUCUUUUCACGAGAAAAAAGAUUAUUUGAGAGAUGGAAAAAAUUGUUGGAACUAUCAUAAUAUAAAGAAUGACAUCUCACAAUAGGGAUUAAGUAUGCGCAUUUGUUUCAACAUUUCAAAGGGUCCUCCAAAAGCUUUUGGGACGAAAUUGUUCCCUGAGCCGCAAGAGGUUCCAUGAUCUAGGCGCUUGCUCGACCUCUUCGAGGCUGCCAAACGAUUCGCUUUCCAGGCCUGCUUCCAAGAUAAUAUAUUUCCAUUCUCCAGUGGCCAUACCCCAUGGUUUUUCGUUUUUUUACCUUCAAAGCUACUUUGAAAAAUGCCCCAACCAAACCUUAUCUGCUCAAAGCAAAUAAUAGGCUUUGCGUCUUAAAGACACUCUCUCGAGAAUCUUCCAAAUGAACCCUAAAAACCCCAUUGCUAUGAGGUCAUUGGCCCAGUAUCUCCGUAUUAGCAGAAUGGCUAUAGUUUUGCUUUGGGAGAAGCUCCUCGAACCGCAUCUUUUGAUUAGCGGAAAAUAAACGCGAGCUGUAAUCAUGAUUUGGGAUCCAAUUAAAUUUAUUGGCUGGACGAAAUUUUAUUUAAUCAAUAAUAGAGGAAAUUAAGGGCGAUAACAAAAUAGAAAUUCAGAAUUCGUUUUAUCGUCUCAUGGGACGAGUUCGAGUUUUUUCUUUCCCUUACUGAAAAGAUCCUGACGAGGCCCAGUCCGAGGUUUCCAGAUGGACGGACCGGAUUCGCCAAAUCACUGGAACGUUCGUCCUAAAGACCGCGGGGGUACGAGAAUGCUCCUCCGUUUCCUAUUUAACACCCGACGCCACCACUUCCAAACCAUAUCGUCUGACGAUAGCAAUUCCUGUCUUAGUCCGAGCAUUCUGUCAAACGUUUCGUCGGCUCAAUCUCAUAUAUUCGCCGGUAAUCCCACAGCCAUGUCGCUCAUCCCAAGCUGGUUCGGCGGCCGCCGCAGCAACGUCUUCGACCCUUUCUCCCUCGACCUCUGGGAACCCUUCAAGGACUUCCCUUUCCCUUCCUCCUCCCUUUCCGCCUCUGAUUUCCCCCAGGCGUUCCGGGAGAACACUGCUUUCGUGAACACGAGGAUCGACUGGAAGGAGACCCCGGAAGCCCACGUGUUCAAGGCGGAUCUCCCCGGGCUCAAGAAGGAGGAGGUCAAGGUGGAGAUCGAGGACGAUCGGGUGCGCCAGAUAAGCGGCGAGAGGAACGUGGAGAAGGAGGACAAGAACGACACGUGGCACCGGGUGGAGAGGAGCAGCGGGAAAUUCAUGAGGAAGUUCAGGUUGCCCGAGAACGCGAGGAUGGAUCAGGUGAAGGCGUCGAUGGAGAACGGGGUGCUCACCGUGACUGUUCCCAAGGUGGAGGAGAAGAAGCCGGAGGUCAAGGCCAUCGAGAUCUCUGGUUGAGAGAUGGUGAAUCUGCGGCUGGCGCGACAACUUGUGUAUACACGUACACAGAGUGAGUGUCUGCGUGUGCUGUCUGCUGUGUGGCUUUCGCAUGUCCUGAGUUGGCCUGAGUUGGGAGUCUCGGUCCUCGUCUUUGAUAUGGCGGUGUAAUAGGUUGGAAAUAUGGCGAUGUGACAUAACUAUAGUAACCUGUUUUAUGUGAUAUCGGUUCCUCAAAAUCUUUCGGUUUUCUCGCCUUUCGCUUCCCCAUUCAGCACCGAAUUACGGCCUUGUCCCAAGGGACUUAAUUUAGUUCUUUUUUGGGAUGGUUAAUUCAUUCUCUUGGAAGAAUUCCUGUGAAGUGCAAGUGUUGUACUCGCAGGUUGUGAUCAUUUGUUUUUUUUUUUUUUUUCAAUUGGGUUUGGGGGUACCUGCAAAUUGCAUCGAGAGAAGCUGACAACUUUCGGGAUGAAACGAGGCUUAGAACCAUGAUUCUCCUUUUGAGCUCAGCGCGAGCUGCAGGGUUUCUUAUGCUGCAUUGUAUUGGGUUUGUCAGAUAACAUGACUAGAUAUCCCAACAAGUUUUUUAUUUCCGCUUGAUCGUCAUCAAAUCAGAGAUAACAAGAUCAGAUAUCCUUUCCUGAUGCUUAGCUCGAUUUCGUCUUUGAAAGCUCCGGGUUUCAUCCUCAUCUCUUCCCCAUCAACCAUGAGUCUCCUCACCGCUUGCUCCAUCUCUCUCUGGUUUAGAUCACCCUCCAACUCCAAUCCCACCAUUCAAACGUGGCACGGGUACCCUGCCUUCACAUUCUGGUCCCUACGGUUGGUGUAUCGUUGGGACUCCUUAGGAAAUAAUUUCCAAGGAACUAGUUCCAUCUGCAAAAGGUCCAAAAGCCUCCCGAGUUACGUGUGCUAAAACUUGCACCUCAUGAGCCCAUCUCGUAACACGGCCAAUUUUUGUUGGCUUUUUUGGACCCUUGCGCUAACAGCUCGAUCCACUCUGAGCCUCUGACUGAGCGAGGUCGGACCAGCCGGAAGAAUGCCACUCUUUGCCAGCCCCCAAGCCGUUUCUGCAAACUCUCCCUGAUCUAUUUUGAAGCCAAGCUUUCCUAAGCUCACAAGUAUAACUGAAUUAUGUGCUUGCUUAUCAAGCCACAAGAGGCAACUGGUUUCUUCCCUCUAUUAUACUGGUUGGCAAAGCCGGAGCAACUUUGUGCAGCGAGCCUGGUGAAAAAAAUGGCGCUCGUUAUUGUCUAUGGAGUUGGUCCGGUAACUGUUUCUCCAGGCAGUCCACUGUUCCAGAAAAUGCCUGAAGAUGCUCUGUUGUUAAUCAGGAUGGCUGCUAACUUCAUCAUGGGUUCUAAAUCGCCUGGUGAUACAAGUCCAUGCAUCUCGUGGGAUAAGCGCCUGGAAUAGUCUCAAUCGAUGUUGGACCUAAAGAGUCAAGGUGCUGCAGCUUAGCAUGUAUUGGUUCUACGACUUCAUAGUCUGAUAGAAAACAUAAAAACUUAUCCAAGAUUUGAAUAUUCCAGCAAGUCAAAAGAGAGAUACAACUUUUAUUCGAAUUUGAUACACUGUAGACUGCUUUCUUCCUUCCUAGUUGGAUUGCUCGACAUGAAUACGAGAGAAUAUGAUAUUAUAUGCAGUUUCAGCACGUGUGGUACUGUUGACUUCAAUUACAUGCCUCCUCUGUCCUCUGACUAAAGGAAGAGGUAAUGACUGGUUUAGACGGUGGGGCAACGGCUAUUGGAGCGUUUUACCUUCUGGAAACUGAGUCGCCCUAAAGACUUGGUAUGCUUACCUUUUCUUUGCAGCAAGAGCAUUUUACGAAAACACAGAGAGCCCCGUUAAAGUACUGCUUAAUGAGUAGUAGACGAUGAAAAUUGCAAGCCAAACUCAAAAUAUGUCUACAUGGACGAAUGAUGCAAGCUGUUGAGCGCAAUUCCUAUUUGAGUCACGCUGAUUAAUUGACUCUCUCUUUAGAUUGGCCAAGCAGUUUCUUUAAAUCUUGAAGAGACCCUCGCAGUGCUUUGGGAUAGCAAACAUAAUCAAGUCAGGAGCCUUUCCAGUUUAGUAGAGUACGACCAAAGAGAGCGCAUUCUUAACAUCCAAUCAGUACUGUGUGAUUGUUACUCUUGAUUUCUAGUGAAAUUCCUAUCGAGCUCCAUCACUGAGGUAAAGAAGGGUUUACUGCAAGUAUCAUUAUCUUAGAGUUUGUUGUGUAUGUUGAUAUCCGAGGGUUAAAGAUACCUUUUCAAGGAAAAUAACUUUUCUUUUGGAGCCAAGGGGGUUCAGAGAAAACCAGCAGAGUGCCCUACUACAAGAGCGCAAAGCAAUGCUAGGAAGUUCUAUAUGAUGAGCUGCCACCUAGCAAAGUACAUCAAUUCAAUCUUUUCCAGUUAAUUUUGGUCAAAUUUUGUUGACUAAAUAUCGAUCGGUUGACGUGAUACGAUCGACGCUGACGUGGAUAAUUUUUAAUAAUAUUUUAAUUUUUUUGGAUUUGAAUUUUACUUAAUUUUUCUUUUUCUUUUUUUUCAUUUUUUUUUCUUCUUCUCCUUCCUCUAGUCAAUCGUCAGACCUUUGGCAAUUGGCCAUCGGCAAGGCUUGAGCCCUCGCCAGAGGCUGUGAGGGCGAUCGACAAUCAGCCAGAGAAGACAGCUGGCGAGGUUGAGGAGGAAGGAGGGGCACAAAGAAAAAAGAAGAAAAAAGAAAAGGAAAAAAGAAAAAGAAAAAGAAAAAGAAAAAAAAGAAAAAAGAAAAGAAAAGAAAAAGGAAAAAAAUAUUAAAAUAUUAAAAUAUUAAAAUAUUAAAAUAUUAAAAUAUUAAAAUAUUAAAAUAUUAAAAUAUUAUUAAAAGUUGUUAACGUCAGCGUCAAUCGUGUCAUAUCCAAUGCUUAGUCAGCAAAAUCCGGCUAAAAUUAAUUGGAAAUUAUCGAAUUAACACAAAAUAAAAAUAUUUAAGACUAAAUUGGUAUUUAUAAAAUAUUUAGAAUUAAAUUAGCAUAAAUAUAAAAUGUUUAGGAUUUCUUGGACACUUUUCCCCCAAUAAACUUGAUUUAUAUUCAUGAUUUAGGAUUCAUUGAAUGUAAUUAGACAAAAUCUUAUUUAAUCAAGAAUAGAGGAAAUUAAGGGCGAUUACAAAAUAGAAAUAGAAAUCGUCAUUGUCGUAAUGUGACGGACCAGGUGUUUCCAGAUGGACCUACGGGAUUCGCCAUUUCACUUGAACGUUCGUCCGUCCGUCCGUUCGAGCGGGACUGGAAAGACCGCGAAGGUACUAGAAUGAUCCUCUCUUUCCUAUUUAACUCCACGACUUGUCUUCUAAGCUCCAUCGUCGAACGGUAGCAAUUCUCAUCAUCUUCCUUAAGCAUUCCAUCGAACACUUUCUCCGCUCGGUCUCGCAUUUUCACCGGUAAACCCAACAACCAUGUCGCUCAUCCCAAGCUGGUUCGGCGGCCGCCGCAGCAACGUCUUCGACCCUUUCUCCCUCGACCUCUGGGACCCCUUCAAGGACUUCCCUUUCCCUUCCUCCUCCCUCUCCGCCUCUAAUUUCCCUCAAACUGUCCGGGAAAAUACUGCUUUUGUGAACACGAGGAUCGACUGGAGGGAGACCCCGGAGGCCCACGUGUUCAAGGCGGAUCUCCCCGGGCUCAAGAAGGAGGAAGUCAAGGUGGAGAUCGAGGACGAUCGGGUGCUCCAGAUAAGCGGCGAGAGGAACGUGGAGAAGGAGGACAAGAACGACACGUGGCACCGGGUGGAGAGGAGCAGCGGGAAAUUCAUGAGGAGGUUCAGGCUGCCGGAGAACGCGAGGAUGGAUCAGGUGAAGGCCUCGAUGGAGAAUGGGGUGCUCACCAUCACUGUUCCCAAGGUGGAGGAGAAGAAGCCUGAGGUCAAGGCCAUCGAGAUCUCCGGUUGAGAGUCGGUGAAUCUAUGGUCCUCGUUACGACUUGUGUCUAUAUAUAGAGCAAGUAUGCUGUGCUAUGUGAGGGUUGGGAGGCUCGGUCCCAUGGUGUCUGAUAUAGCGAUAUGUUGUCCGCCGAUGACUCUUUAGUUGUAAUGAAAUUCGAAGUUACUAUUUUCUAACUUCUGUUUGAGGUGAUAUUGGUUGCUCAAAAGUCUUUUGAUUGUGUUUUGUUCGUGGGACGUUCCUUAUUUUUAUUUACAUACUGCUUCCGGGAGUUCAAUUAGUUUAAUUAUUUUUGGAUGAUUAAUUCAAUUUCUGGGAAGGAUACCUCCAAAGUGCAGGAUGGACUUUGCACAUCGUGAUCGUUUUUUCAGUUGGGUUUGGAGGUACCGGCAAUAUGGAGAAGCUGAUAAGUUUGGGAUGAAAACAAGCUAGAAACCACAUUACUCCUUUGGACUCAGAGCAAGGUUUGGGGUUCCUUCUGCUGCAUUGUAUCAAAUUUGUCAGGUAACAGGAUAAAAUAUUUGAUAUGGCCUUCAAUUUCUGUUCCAUCAUCAUCAGAUCAGAGAAAAAUGAUCAGAUUCACUGGUUCCUAUAUUGAGGCGUGCGAAGUAUCGCCUUUUCCGAUGCUCAUGUUGAUUUGGUCUUUGAAAGCCGCGGCUCUCAGCCUUAUCUCUGUCCCUUCCUUGCCAACCGUCAGCCUCCUCACAGCUUGCUCCAUCUCUUUCUGGUCUAGACCACACUCUAACUCCAAUCCCACCAUCCGAACGUGGCGCGAGUACCUCACCUUAGCAUUCUGGUCCCUGAAGCACGGUGGGCAUAUCAUUGGGACUCCUUUGGAAAUGAUUUCCAAGGUCGAAUUCCAUCUGCAAUGGGUCCAAAAGCUUCCUGUGGCACGGUGUGCUAAAACUUCCUCUAGAGCCCAUCUCGCAACACGGCCAGUUUCUUCGUUGGCUUCUUCGAACCCUUCUGGUAAUAGCUCGAUCCACUCUAAGCCUCUGUCUGAGCCAGGCCGGAUUAGCCACAAGAACGCUGCUGUUUGCCAACCCCCAAGCCAAUUCUGCAAACUUUCCCUAAUUCAUUGAAGCCAAGCUUCCUAAGCUCACAUAAAUAACUUAGGUAAAUUUGUAUGUAGAUUAAAAAAAAGUCUAUUUAUGAUUUUAAGCAAGCUUGUAGAUAAUGGUAUUUAAAGUUUCAUAGUGUUGUCAAAUAUAAAGUAUAUACUGUAUACAUUUUUUCGUACUUUAUGUAGAUGAUAUCUUACUUGCGAGUAAUGACAUUAGAUUAAUGGGACAAAAGUGGAUGUUAUCAAAAAAAUUUAACAUGAAAGAUCUUGGUGAUGCGUUUUUUGUUCUUGGCAUUGAGGUCCAUAUGGAUUGUUAUUGGGUUUGUUUUAGAGGGCAUAUGUUGAUCGUAUUUUAGAAAGAUUCAAUAUGCAUCAUUGCAAUCCGGGGUGAUAAGUUGAGUCUUUCACGAUAUCCUCGUUUAGAUUUUGAGAAAGUUCAAAUGAAUGAUGUACCUUAUGCUAGUAUGCUUGGAAGUAUCAUGUAUACUCAAGUUUACAUUAGACCAGAUUUAUUUUUGCGACAUGACUUCUAGGUAGAUAUUAGUCAAAUCUAGAAUGUGAUCACUGGGUUGUUGUCAAGAAGAUUUUAAGGUAUUUAAAGAGGACAAUAGAUUAUAUGCUGAUUUAUAGACAUGUUCCGAACUUACAACUAAUAGGGUAUUUGGAUGUAGAUUUUGCUGGUUGUUAAGAUGAUAUGAAAUCGACGGUGAAAUAUAUAUUUAUAUUGGCAGGAGGUGCAGAAAUCUAUAUAUUCUUCUACCAUGCAAAUAGAGUUUGUAGCAUGCUUUUCAGCUGCUAUUUAGGCGAUUUGGCUCUAGAAUCUUAUUAGGGAGUUAACUGUUUUUUAUUUUGUGGGUAGAGCUAUAUAGUUAUAAUAAUAAUAGAAGUCUCCAAAAGUCUAAGCAUAUGGAGGUCAAGUUUAUGACCAUAAAUGAAUCAGUACAGAAUAGUGGUGUUACAGUAGAUCAUAUUCCUACAGAUGAUAUGAUUGUAGAUCCAUUAACUAAAGACCUAUGCCCUUAUGUGUUUGAGUGAUAUGUCGUUAGCAUGGGUUUAGGAGUAUUUUGGGAUGUUGUUAUUUAGUGAAAGUUGUUUUUAUUUUUCUUUUAAUAAAGUUUAUAUUUGUGUUUUUUAUAUUUAGUAGCGUUUUGAUAUAUAUUAACAUUUGCAUUCAAUAAAAUAUUUUUAAAUAAAUUGUUAUUAUGUUGAAUAUAUAUUGAUAAAAGUCUUAAAUGUAUUAUAUAAACCUUAAGUGAAUGUUAAGGGCAUCGGGUUAUUAACCUUGAGUAUAUGUUUUAUCACACAUAAAGAAAUAUUAACUGUAAAGGCAAGGCAUAUGUGGGUUUACUAGAACCAUAAAAAUAUUUUCUAAUGGCAUAGAUUUUUGUGAUACUUAAAAUGAGAGAAUGGUGAUUGACAAAUGGGAUCUCUCUAUGAGAGAUGUUAUUCAUUUAUCACACUACCAUAUUAAAUCCAUAUCAAUAAAGUUAAAAGCACUCAUAAGCACUCGUGACCAUGAAAGGUUUUGUGUGUAUACAUGCAGCUCCUACCAUGAUUUGGUGUUUGAGACUUUAUAUGAUGUAAUUGACUAUUAAGAAUUAUCUCUUAAAUUAAUGCGCGCACAUACAAUACAAUUUCAAUUAAUAUAACUCAAGUGGAAGAGUAUAAAAGUUUUUCUAAUGUGGGUUACAUUAAUUAAUAUUGUAAUUUACCAUUUUUUGGGAUUGGUCUAAAGUGAGAUAGAAAGAUUUUUAAUUAAUUUAUAUGGGGCUAGUUAGUGUGGGUUAAGUUGAACUUGACUCGUAAUAAGAUGGCCUAGUUGGAACACUAUAGAUAGUCGUCAAGUCUCUCCUCUAACUCUAAUUUUCAUAAUUAUCCUCACAAAUGAGCAUUUACCUAACGCAAAAGGGUGAGGGGGUUGUCUCAUUGAGCCAAUGAUAUAGAGGGCAAAGAGGAGAAUGACUUGUGCUUGAAUCAUCGCUUUUUUGCUUUCGCAUCAAGAACGAUGAAUUCCAAAACAAGUGUAUUAAUUUUUUUACUUGAUUAUAUGUGUUUUUGUUCUAGUUAUGGAGAUAAUGAGUUACGUGUUUUAGCAUCUAACAUCCCUCUCUGAAGUCUAGAUCUAAAUUUGGGUUGCCCGUCUAAUGCUCCAUCGAGGGUUGCUAGGGGCGGUUGAGGAUCUAGAAGAGCACAUCUAGGUCAUUGGGGUCUAGGUUGGCAUGGGUCUAGGUUGCUAGUCUAAUGCUCCACUGAAUGUUGCGCAAGGUUUGUUGAUGAUGGCUAAGGUUGUCUGAUGGUUUGGGUUUGCUUGUUUGGGUCGAUGAUUGUGUGUUUAGGUCGCCUAUUUGUAUGCUCUAACGAGGGUCAUCAAGGGAGGCCGAGGGUCUCCAAGGAUUUGGGUUGACGAUCGCGUAGUUUAGGUUGUCGAGGUCAUGCGACCCUCAGGGUCUCCUAGCUUAGGCUACCCGAGGUUGCUUCACCUCGGUGUCACCUUGCAUGACCACUUCGACGAUUCAAUUGUUGCUGACAUUCAAUUUGCUUCCCAAGUUUGCUCCCAAGAUGAGAUAUCUCUACUCUCCAGUAGUUAUAUAGUUUAUUUUUUUUCGUUCUUUUUUCUACCUUCGAAGUUACAUUGCAAAAAUAUCAUGAAAGUCAUUUAACCAAACAAUAUUUACUUUGAGUCAAAGAUUCAUGGGGCAAUGACUUUGCAUUCUCUCAAAACUCUCCCAAACACGCAUUUUGAGUUACAGUGAUUGGUUUCAAGUUGGGUAGAUUUUAGACCUCAAAUCUGAAAUCUAAUCUAUUAGAACCGAUUCCAAGUUUUUGGAACCUAAAACCUAUUUUGUAUGUCUUGGAACCUGUCAUUCUUUUGUUCUUUUUUUUUUAGGUUCACUUUUUAUAGCAAAAAAAUAUAAGUAAUAAAAUGGUUCAAAGUAAAAGAUGACUAAGGGUGAAGGAGCAAAGGUGAGUUAGGAACGAGCGAGUGUGAGCCGUGAGUGAGCGAGGAGGAGGGUGAGUCGCCAGCAAGCGAGAGAGAAUUGCGAAAUGUUUGAGUAAGGUUGAAGAGAACAGAGAAAAAAGAGAUAGAAAAAUAUGUUAAGAGAAAAAUUGGGGUUUCUAAACUUUAUGAAACUUGUACCAAAUUUGAUUCAAUGACAUAUGGUUCUUCUUAACUGACCAAAAAAAGAAAAAAAGAAAAAAAAAAGACAUAUGGUUCUUCAGUUGAAAUUGCAAACAAGAUUGGUUCGAACGACUGAUGAUCCGGUUCUCGAAUAGAACUGGCCCGACAACAGAGCUCUACUAACAAACCCUAGUUUCAUAAAAAUCCUAGUAUCGUAAUGUCAUUUGCCCAGUAUUUACCUAGUAUGAGAUGAUUAUAUUUUUUUAGCAAGAGGAAUUCCUUUAAUCGCAUCUUUUGAUUAGUGGCAAAUAAACUUGAUUUAUAUUCAUGAUUUAGGAUCCAUCGAAUUUAAUUGGACAAAAUCUUAUUUAAUCAAGAAUAGAGGAAAUUAAGGGCGGUCGCAAAAUAGAAAUAGAAUUCGUCAUCAUCGUAAUGUGACGGACCAAGUGUUUCCAGAUAGACCUCCGGGGUUCGCCAUUUCGCUCGAACGUUCGUCCACCGACACUCAGAAAGACCGCGAAGGUACGAGAAUGAUCCUCUCUUUCCUAUUUAACUCCCAACUUGUCUUCCAGGCUCCAUCGUCAAACGGUAGCAAUUCUCAUCGUCUAUCUCAAGCAUUCUAUCGAACACUUUCUCCGCUCAGUCUCGCAUUUUCACCAGUAAACCCAACAACCAUGUCGCUCAUCCCAAGCUGGUUCGGCGGCCGCCGCAGCAAUGUCUUCGACCCUUUCUCCCUCGACCUCUGGGACCCCUUCAAGGAUUUCCCUUUCCCUUCCUCCUCCCUCUCCGCCUCUAAUUUCCCUCAAACCAUCCGAGAAAAUACUGCUUUUGUGAACACGAGGAUCGACUGGAGGGAGACCCCGGAGGCCCACGUGUUUAAGGCGGAUCUCCCAGGGCUCAAGAAGGAGGAAGUCAAGGUGGAGAUCGAGGACGAUCGGGUGCUCCAGAUAAGCGGCGAGAGGAACGUGGAGAAGGAGGACAAGAACGACACCUGGCACCGGGUGGAGAGGAGCAGCGGGAAGUUCAUGAGGAGGUUCAGGGUGCCGGAGAACGCGAGGAUGGAUCAGGUGAAGGCCUCGAUGGAGAAUGGGGUGCUCACCAUCACUGUUCCCAAGGUGGAGGAGAAGAAGCCUGAGGUCAAGGCCAUCGAGAUCUCCGGUUGAGAGUCGGUGAAUCUAUGGUCCGCGUUGCGACUUGUGUCUAUAUAGAGAGCAAGUAUGCUGUGUUAUGUGUCGGUUGGGAGGCUUGGUCCCAUGGUGUCUGAUAUAGCGAUAUGCUGUCCUACAAUGACUCUUUACUUGUAAUGAAAUUCGAAGUUACUAUUUCCUAACUGCUGUGUGAGGUGAUAUUGGUUCCUCAAAAGUUUUUUGAUUGUGUUUUGUUCGUGGGACGUUCCUUAUUUUUAUUUGCACACUGCUUCUGGGAGUUCAAUUAGUUUCAUUACUUUUGGAUGAUUAUUUCAAUUUCUGGGAAGGAUUUCUCCAAAGUGGAGGGGACGUACUUUGCAUGUUGUGAUCGUUUUUUAAGUUGGGUUUGGAGGUACCUGCAAUAUGGAGAAGCUGAUAAGUUUGGGAUGAAAACAAGCUAGAAACCACAUUGCUCCCUUUGGACUCAGUGCAAGGUUUGGGGUUCCUUCUGCUGCAUUGUAUCAAAUUUGUCAGGUAACAGGAUAAAAUAUUUGAUGUGGCCUUCAAUUUCUGUUCCAUCAUCAUCAGAUCAGAGAGAAAUGAUCAGAUUCACUGGUUCCUAUAUUGAGGCGUGCGAAGUAUCGCCUUUUCCGAUGCUCAUGUUGAUUUGGUCUUUUAAAAGCCGCGGCUCUCAGCCUCAUCUCUGUCCCUUCCUCGCCAACCGUCAGCCUUCUCACAGCUUGCUCCAUCUCUUUCUGGUCUAGACCACACUCUAACUCCAAUCCCACCAUCCGAACGUGGCGCGAGUACCUCACCUUAGCAUUCUGGUCCCUGAAGCACGAUGGGCUUAUCAUUGGGACUCCUUCGGAAAUUAUUUCCAAGGUCGAAUUCCAUCUGCAAUAAGUCCAAAAGCUUCCUGUGGCACGUUGUGCUAAAACUUCCUCUUGCAGAGCCCAUCGUGCAACACGGCCAGUUUCCUCGUUGGCUUCUUCGAACCCUUCUGGUAAUAGCUCGAUCCACUCUGAGCCUCUGUCUGAGCUAGGCCGGAUCAGCCACAAGAACGCUGCUGUUCGCCAACCCCCAAGCCAAUUCUACAAGCUUUCCCUGAUUCAUUGAAGCCAAGCUUCCUACGCUCACAUAAAUAACUCAGGUAAAUUUGUAUGUAGAUUAAAAAAAGUCUAUUUAUGACUUUAAGCAAGUUUCUAGAUAAUGGUAUUUAAAGUUUCAUAAUGUUGUCAAAUAUAAAGUAGAUCAGUGUAUAUACCGUAUAUAUUUUUCUUGUACUUUAUGUAGAUGAUAUGUUACUUACGAGUAAUAAUAUUAGAUUACUGCAUGCAUGAGACAAAGUGGAUGUUAUCAAAAAAUUUUAACGUGAAAGACUUGUCUUUUGUUCUUGGCAUUGAGGUCUAUAUGGAUUGUUCUCGUUGUUAAUUGGGUUUGUCUUAGAGGACAUAUGUUGAUCGUAUUUUAGAAAGAUUCAAUAUGCAGCAUUGCAAUCCAGGGUGAUAAAUUGAGUCUUUUAAAAUAUCCUAAUUCAGAUUUUGAAAAAGCUCAAAUGAAUGAUGUAUCUUAUGCUAGUGUGCUUGGAAAUAUUAUGUAUGUUCAAGUUUGCAUUAAACCAUAUAUUACUUUUGCGAUAGGAUUUCUAGGCAGAUAUUAGUCAAAUCUAGGAUGUGAUCAUUAGUGUUGGAGAAAUCUUUCCAGAAUAUUUUGAAACUGACAAAACAUUUCUAUCAGUCUAAGUCUGGAUAUCGAUAGUUAAAGUCUCAAGACUUUAUAGUCUCAAGACUUUGUAAUCUCAAGACUCAAGACUCAAGACUCAAGACUCAAAAACAUUCUCACUAACAGUCUUUCUAAUCCAGUGUUGAAGGAAAUCCAAAGCCGAGGUUUAUGGUUGAGGAUUUGAUCCUAUCCUCUGGAAUAGAUUCUUUGGUUGGAUAAUCAUUUCGGAUUCUUUAAUUCUUAUCUAAGAUCGAUUGAAGAUCCGAUGGUCGACGAAAUAAUCUUGGAUUAUUCUAUUCUUGGAAACCGAGAUCCUGAUUGUAUGGGCGAACAGGAUUGAUGGGCUAUCAUCAGAUUCCUUAAAUAGCUCGGAUGAUCUUCUUGAUUGAUUCCGUCCAACGGGUAGAUUGGAGGAAUUCCUUUGGUAAGUGCCAACGGCUAUGAUGGCAUGAAGGAGUAUAAAAGGAAGACGUUCUAGUUGUCUUAAGUGUGUGAUCGAUAGAAAAAUUCCAGAGUCUUAAGAUCCUUGAUUGUUAGUUGAGACUGAGCGAAAUUGUAUACAGAGAGUGUUUAUACUUGGUGACGCCUUGAGUGAGUGUGGUAGAUCAUCUACACCUAGAAAUCAAGGAAGAUCAACACUGUAACAACUCUUUGAUCAUAGUGGAAUCCAGCCAAUCGGCUGUCAGUGCAGAAGAGUGGACGUAGGCUUGAAUCAAGCCGAACCACUAUAAACCGAGUGUUCAAUUCUCUCUUUCCCUUACUCAGUCUUGCGAUUGAAUUUUUAACUGUUGCAAAUUCUCUAAUUGUUUAAAUAUCGUGCAAGCUUCGAGAAAGUUUUUGUAUACCUAUUCACCCCCCCUCUAGGUACUCGUACUAGCUAUUUCAAUUAGGUCGUUGCCAAGAAAAUUUUAAGGUACUUAAAUAGGACAAUAAAUUAUAUGCUGAUUUAUAGACAUGUUCCGGAUUUACAGCUAAUAGGGUAUUCGGAUGCAGAUUAUGAUGAUUGUCAAGAUGAUAUGAAAUCGACGACAAAAUACAUAUUUAUGUUGGCAGGAGAUGUAGAAAUCUAUAUAUUCUUCUAUCAUGCAAGCAGAGUUUAUAGCAUGUUUUUCAGCUGUUACUCAAGCUAUUUAGCUCCAGAACCUUAUUAGGGAGUUAACUGUUUUUUAUUUUGUAGAUAGGCCUAUAUAGUUAUAUUGUAACAAUAACUCUGCAUUGUUGUUUAUUAAUAAUAAUAGAAGUCUUAAGAAGUCUAAACACAUGAAGGUCAAGUUUAUGACGAUAAAUGAAUCAGUACAGAAUGAUGACGUUGCAGUAGAUCAUAUUCCUACAGAUGAUAUGAUUGUAAAUCCAUUAACUAAAGGCCUAUGCUCUUGUGUGUUUGAGCGGUAUGUCAUUAGCAUGGGUUUAGGAGCAUUUUUGGAUGCUGUUAUUUAGUGAGAGCUGUUUUUAUUUUUCUUUUAAUAAAGUUUAUAUUUGUGUUUGUUACAUUUAGUAGUGUUUUGAUAUAUACCAACGUUUACAUUCAAUAAAAUAUUUUUAAAUGAAUUGAUAUUAUGUUUAAUAUAUAUUGAUAAAAGUUUCAAUGUAUUGUAUAAACUUUAAGUGAAUGUUAAGGGCAUCCGUUAUUAGCCUUGAGCAUAUGUUUUAUUACACAUAAAGAAAUAUUAAUUGUAAAGAUAAGGCAUAUGUGGGUUCACUAAAAUCAUAAAAAUAUUUUUUAAUGGCAUAGGUUUUUGUGACACUUAAGGUAAGAGAAUGAUGAUUGACAAAUAGGAUCUCUUUAUUAGAGAUGUUAUCCAUUUACCACACUACCAUAUUAAAUCUAUAUCAAUAAAGUUGAAAGUACUCGUGACCAUGAAAGGUUUUUUGUGUAUACAUGCAGUUCCUAUUAUGAUUUGGUGUUUGAGACUUUAUAGGAUGUGAUUGAUUAUUAAGAAUUAUCUCUAAACUAAUGUGCGCACAUACAGUACAAUUUCAAUUAAUAUAACUCAAGUGGAAGAAGAUAAAAGUUUUCAUAAUGUGGGUUACAUUAAUUAAUAUUAUAAUUUACCGUUUUAUGAGAUUGGUCUAAAGUGAGAUAUAAAGUUUAUUAAUUAAUCUAAUAUGGGGUUGGUUAGUGUGGGUCAAGUUGAACUUGACCUGUAAUGAGAUGGUUUAGUUGGAACAUUAUAAAUAGUGCUCAAGUCUCUUCUCUAACCAUAAUUUUUAUAAUUAUCCUCAUAAAUGAGCAUUUACCUAACACAAAAGAGUGAGGGGGCCGUCUUUUUGAGUCAAUGAUAUAAAGGGCAAUAGAGGAUAAUGACUUGUAUUUGAAUCAUCGCUUUUUUGCUUUCGCAUCAAGAGUGAUGAAUUCCAAAACAAGUGCGUUAAUAUUUCUACUUGAUUAUAUGUGUUCUUGUUCUAGUUAUGGAGAUCAUAGGUUACGCAUUUUAACGUCUAACAUCCCUCUCUGAAGUCUAGAUCUAAAUUUGGGUCGCCCGUCAAAUGCUCCGUCGAGGGUUGUUAGGGGCGGUCGAGGAUCUAGAAGAGCAUGUCUGAGGUCUAGGUUGGCAUGGGUCUAGGUUGCUAGUCUAAUGCUCCACUGAAUGUUGCGCAAGGUUUGUUGACGAUGGCUAAGGCUGUACGAUGGUUUGGGUUUGUUUGUUUGGGUUGAUGAUUGUGUGUUUAGAUCACCUAUCUGAUGCUCUAUCGAGGGUCGUCAAGGGUGGCCAAGGAUCUCCAAGGAUCUGGGUUGACGAUCGAGUAGUCUGGGUCGUCAAGGUCAUGCGACCCUCAGGGUCUUCUAGCUUAGGCUACCCGAGGUUGCUUCACCCUAUGUAGCAUGGAUACUCUCCAGAAGCCUUUGUGUCGUGUCCGACAUUCCGACACGUGUCCGACACGUUCCGACACGCUCCGACACACAGUUAACGAGUGUCGAAAAAUCCGACACGUGGCCAACUCUCUCCGACACGCGAAUCCAGAAUUUCGACACGCACGGGGUCAAUUUUAAAAAUUUCUAAUACUUGAGGGGUCAAAAUAUAAAUAUAUAUAAAAGAAGUAAUAAAAGAAGUAAUAAAAUUGCUAUAAAUAUACACACACGGGGUCAAUAUUUUUUUUUUCAGUUUUGUUUUUUUUAGAAUUGUUUUAUUUUUUUAAAAGUCUUUUACUAUGAAGAAGUAAUAAAAAAUGCUAUAUAUGAUAAAUAAAUAAAUUUAAAAAUAUCAUUUCAGCAUUUUUCUUUAAACAAUGUUUUUUUUCUCUAUGUUUUGUGUAUUAUUGUAACAAAUUAAAAUAAUGAAUGAUAUUAUUUAAUAUUUUUCGUGUAAAUUAAUUCUAAGCUAUUAUUAUUAUUAUUAUUUAUGUAUUAUAUAUAAAAAUAUAUUUAAUAUAUAACGUGUCGGAACGUGUCGAAAUUCUCUAUUUUUAAGAAAUAUCGUGUCGGCGUGUCAUGUCAUGUCGUAUCGUAUGUCGCAUGUCCGUGUUGGUGCUACAUAGGCUUCACCUCGGUGUUACCUUGCAUGACCUCUUUGACAAGUCAAUUGCCGCUGGCAUUCAAUUUGCCUUCCAAGUUUGCUCCCAAGAUGAGAUAUCUCUACUCUUCAGUAGUUAUAUACUUUAUUUUUUUUUUCCUUCUUUUUUCUACCUUCAAAGUUACAUUGCAAAAAUAUCAUGAAAGUCACUUAACCAAACAAUAUUUACUUUGAGUCAAAGAUUUAUGGGGCAAUGACUUUGCAUUCUCUCAAAACUCUCCCAAACACGCAUUCUAAGUUAAAAGUGAUUGGUUUUAAGGUGGGUAGAUUUUAGACCUAGAAUCUGAAAUCUAAUCUAUUAGAACCGAUUUCCAGUUUUUGGAACCUAAAACCUAUCUCGUAUGUCUUGGAACCUGUCAUUCUUUUGUUCCUUUUUUUAGGUUCACUUUUUAUAGCAAAAUGAUAUAAGUAAUAAAAUGGUUCAAAGUAAAAGAUGACUGAGGGUGAAGGAGCAAAGGUGAGUUAGGAACGAGCGAGGGUGAGCCGUGAGUGAGCGAGGAGGAGGGUGAGUGCCAGCAAGCGAGAGAGAAUUGCGAAAUGUUUGAGUAAGGUUGAAGAGAACAGAAAAAAAGAGAGAGAGAGAAAAAUAUGUUAAGAGAAAAACUGGGGUUUCUAAACUUUAUGAAACUUGUACCAAAUUUGAUCCGAUGACAUAUGGUUCUUCAGUCGAAAUUGCAAACAAGAUUGGUUCCAACGACUAAUGAUCUGGUUCUCGAAUAGAACCGGCCCGACAGCAGAGCCCUACUAACAAACCCGAGUGUCGCAAAAAUCCUAGUGUCGUAACGUCAUCGGCUUAGUAUCUGCCUAGUAUGAGAUGAUUAUAUUUUUUUAGCAAGAGGAACUCCUUGAAUCGCAUCUUUUAAUUAGUGGCAAAUAAACUUCAUUUAUAUUCAUGAUUUAGGAUCCAUCGAUUUUAAUUGGACAAAAUCUUAUUUAAUCAAGAAUAGAGGAAAUUAAGGGCGAUAGCAAAAUAGAAAUAGAAUUCAUCAUCAUCGUAAUGUGACGGACAAGUGUUUCCAGAUGGACCUACGGGAUUCGCCAUUUCUCUCGAACGUUCGUCCACCGACACUCAGAAAGACCGCGAAGGUACGAGAAUGAUUCUCUCUUUCCUAUUUAACUCCCACCUUGUCUUCCAGGCUCCCUCGUCAAACGGUAGCAAUUCUCAUCAUCUAUCUCAAGCAUUCUAUCGAACACUUUCUCCGCUCAGUCUCGCAUUUUCACCGGUAAACCCAACAACCAUGUCACUCAUCCCAAGCUGGUUCGGCGGCCGCCGCAGCAACGUCUUCGACCCUUUCUCCCUCGACCUCUGGGACCCCUUCAAGGACUUCCCUUUCCCUUCCUCCUCCCUUUCCGCCUCUAAUUUCCCUCAAACCAUCCGAGAAAAUACUGCUUUCGUGAACACGAGGAUCGACUGGAAGGAGACCCCGGAAGCCCACGUGUUCAAGGCGGAUCUCCCCGGGCUCAAGAAGGAGGAGGUCAAGGUGCAGAUCGAGGACGAUCGGGUGCUCCAGAUAAGCGGCGAGAGGAACGUGGAGAAGGAGGACAAGAACGACACGUGGCACCGGGUGGAGAGGAGCAGCGGGAAAUUCAUGAGGAGGUUCAGGUUGCCCGAGAACGCGAGGAUGGAUCAGUGAAAGGCGUCGAUGGAGAACGGGGUGCUCACCGUCAGUGUUCCCAAGGUGAGGAGAAGAAGCCUGAGGUCAAGGCCAUCGAGAUCUCCAGUUGAGAGUCGGUGAUCUAUGGUUUUCGUUGCGACUGUGUCUAUAUAUAGAGCAAAUAUGCUAUGUUAUGUGUGGAUUGGGAGGCUCGGUCCCAUGGUCUCUGAUAUGGCGAUAUGUUGUCCGACGAUGACUCUUUAGUUGUAAUAAAAUUCUAAGUUACUAUUUCCUAACUUCUGUUGAGGUGAUAUUGGUUCCUCAAAAGUCUUUUGAUUGUGUUUUGUUCGUGGGACGCUGCUUAUUUUGAUUUCCAUACUGCUUCCGGGAGUUCAAUUAGUUUCAUUAUGUUUGGAUGAUUAAUUCAAUUUCUGGGAAGGAUCCCUCCAAAGUAGAAGGGACGUACUUUGCACGUUGUGAUCGUUUUUUCAGUUGGGUUUGGAGGUACCUGCAAUAUGGAGAAGCUGAUAAGUUUGGGAUGAAAACAAGCUAGAAACCACGUUACUCCUUUUGAGGUCAGUGCAAGGUUUGGGGUUCCUUCUGCUGCAUUGUAGCAAAUUUGUCAGGUAAAAGGAUAAAAUAUUUGAUGUGGCCUUCAAUUUCUGUUCGAUCAUCGUCAGAUUAGAGAGAAAUGAUCAAAUUCACUGGUUCCUAUAUUGUGGCGUGCGAAGGACCGCCUUUUCCGAUGCUCAUGUUGAUUUGGUCUUUGAAAGCUGUGGCUCUCAGCCUCAUCUCUGUCCGUUCCUCGCCAACCGUCAGCCUCCUCACAGCUUGCUCCAUCUCUUUCUGGUCUAGACCACGCUCUUAACUCGAAUCCCACCAUCCAAACGUGGUGCGAGUACCUUACCUUAGCAUUCCGGUCCCUCAAGUGUGGUGGGCAAAUCAUUGGGACUCCUUCGGAAAUGAUUUCCAAGGUCGAAUUCCAUCUGCAAUCCGAAUUCCACCUGCAAUGGGUCCAAAAGCCACCCGUGGCAUGGUGUGCUAAAACUUCCUCCUGCAGAACCCAUCUCACAACACGGCCAGUUUCUCUGAUGGUUUCUUUGAACCCUUCCGGUAAUAGUUUUGAUCCACUCUGAGCCUCUGUCUGAGCCAGGCCGGACCAGCCACAAGAACGCUGCUGUUCGCCAGCCCUCAAGCCAUUUCUGCAGACUUUCCCCGAUCCAUUGAAGCCAAGCUUCCUAAGCUCACAUAUAUGACUGAAUUAUUGGCUUGCUUAUCAAGCCUGAACAGGCCCAGGCCACCGGUUUCUUCCUCCAUUAUGCUGGCUGGUGAAGCUGGAGCAACUUUGUGCAGCGAGCCUAGCAACAAAAAGGCACUCGUUAUUGUUUCUGUAGUUGGUCCAAUAACUGUUUCUCAAGGCAGUAGACUGUGUUCCAAGAAAUGCCUGAAGAUGCCUUGAUAUCGAUCACUAUAGCUGCUAACUUCAUCAUGGUUCUAAAUGGCCAGGUAGGAGAGGCAAGU
rnacentral:lncRNA from 1 species